UAGGGAAUCUUCGGCAAUGGACGAAAGUCUGACCGAGCAACGCCGCGUGAGUGAAGAAGGUUUUCGGAUCGUAAAACUCUGUUGGUAGAGAAGAACGUUGGUGAGAGUGGAAAGCUCAUCAAGUGACGGUAACUACCCAGAAAGGGACGGCUAACUACGUGCCAGCAGCCGCGGUAAUACGUAGGUCCCGAGCGUUGUCCGGAUUUAUUGGGCGUAAAGCGAGCGCAGGUGGUUUAUUAAGUCUGGUGUAAAAGGCAGUGGCUCAACCAUUGUAUGCAUUGGAAACUGGUAGACUUGAGUGCAGGAGAGGAGAGUGGAAUUCCAUGUGUAGCGGUGAAAUGCGUAGAUAUAUGGAGGAACACCGGUGGCGAAAGCGGCUCUCUGGCCUGUAACUGACACUGAGGCUCGAAAGCGUGGGGAGCAAACAG
rnacentral:rRNA from 1 species